rnacentral:lncRNA from 1 species
UUGUAUCGUUAGUAACAAAGGUCUAACUGCACACAAAAAUGAAAAGUAACUGCUUGUAUAUAUAAACUCACAAAAUCAAACAAAUAUUUAAAUAACAAUCCUGACCCUAUUUAUACUAUGGUUUGGGUCUAAUUUAAUAGUAAUACCAUUCAUUAUAUUUGCAACUAUAAUAAAAAAGGUAAAUCGAAAUUUUAAUCUCUCACUCGAAUCUUCUCUUGAACCUCUACUGAAAGAAUUACCAAUUGCUUCUCGAGAUACUUAAGAAUCCCUUGAUCUUAGAAGCACAAUCUGCCUAUAAAACCUCCUUGUUCGAAGAAACAAUGCGAACGCAACGAGGAAUCCAAGCAAAGCAACCGCUGCCAUGAUGAAAAACGAUAACAUGAAACAUUGAGUGUGUUGUUCCAAUAGGGUCGGAAGCGUGUAAAUUAUUGUACUAAAAAAUCACACAAAGUUCAAUUCCCAGGGAAGAGAGGUGGAUCACAAGGAUCUCUUAAAUACCAAGUCUUUCCUUAGACAGAAUAUCCCUUCUAUAGUAAUUUAAUAGCACAAUUAAAUACUACUAUUAUACCCUCAAAUAUUGAAAGAAAAAUAGGACAAGAAAGAACACAAGAGUUUUAACGAGGUUCGGUAAAUUAUACCUACGUCCUCGGGCACUAACACCAGAUGAUAACUUUACUAUCUUCAAAGUAUUACAAACAAAUAGAAUUCCUUAAGAAUUCUCAAAUGGGAGAAGAGAGAAAACUAAGAGAGAAAGAUUGGUUGGGAUGAAUUGAAAUGAGAAAUGAGAAGGCCUAUUUAUAGUUGAGGUUUAAGGACCAAACAAUAAAUAGCCCAUUAUCUCAAGGACCAAAAAAAAUUAUCCCAUGCCACUUUUUCAAAGUCAAAUUUAGGGUGCUAAACUUGCACCACUUUGUAUUGUUUGCCAUUAAUGUUGUCUCCCAUUAAUGUUAACAAUCUCCACCUUGAAGAUUUGAUUAGGAUAAUCACAUCUUCACACACUUCCUUCAACUCCCCAAAUUCGAUAAAGCUAUCUUUUGUAGUGCCUACAAAUGCACUCUCGGGCGCCAUACACCUGAAGGUGCUCAAAUUCUCAGGAUGUUAAUCAAGUUCAAACAAUGAUUAAACUUGAUUGUUGUUACCACCUUGGUCAUCAUAUCUGCGGGAUUAUCUGCUGUCGGAAUCUUCUGAAGUAGAAUUUUUCCUUUUUCAAAGACUUCCCGCACAAAGUGAUAUCUUACGUCGAUAUGCUUGGUUCUUGAAUGAUAGACUUGAUUUUUCGCUAAAUGAAUAGCGCUCUGACUGUCACAAUAUAAACUUAUGUGACUUUGAACAACUCCUAAGUCUUUCAACAAUCCAUUAAGCCAAAUAGCCUCCUUAACAGCUUCUGUAACUGCCAUAUAUUCUGCCUCUGUAGUAGACACAGCUACUGUAGACUGUAAGGUAGACUUCCAACUUAUUGGGGCUUUCGCAAGAGUAAACAGAUACCCCGUAGUUGAACGACGUUUAUCUAAAUCACCAGCAAAGUCGGAAUCAACAUAUCCAACUACAAACUGACCAAGUGCUUCAUCCUGUUCAAAAAUUAAACCAACAUCUACGGUUUUUCGAAGAUACCGUAGAAUCCAUUUCACAGCUUGCCAAUGUCCUUUUCCAGGAUCAUGCAUAUACCUGCUCACAACUCCAACAGCUUGUGAAAUGUCAGGCCUCGUACACACCAUCGCAUACAUCAAACUCCCAACUGCAUUAGCAUAUGGGACUUUCGCCAUAUAUUCUCUUUCAUCUUCAGUCUUCGGAGAUAAUUGAGCACUAAGUUUCAAAUGAGAAGCAAGUGGGGUACUUACAUGUUUUGUGUUUUCAUUUACACCAAAACAUUGUAAUACCUUUUUCAGAUAUUGCUUCUGAUUUAAACAGAGCUUGCCUCUCGGUCUAUCUCUACUUAUCUCCAUGCCGAGAAUCUUCUUGGCCUCACCUAGAUCUUUCAUCUCGAACUCUUGAUUCAACUGAGCCUUCAGCUUAUCUAUCUCAUUUUGGCUCUUCGAAGCGAUUAACAUAUCAUCAACAUACAAGAGUAGAUAAAUGAAAGAUCCGUCAUGCAGCUUCUGCAAAUAUACACAAUUGUCAUAUUUGCUUCUUGUGUACUUCUGCCUUCUCAUAAAGCUAUCAAAUCGCUUGUACCACUGCCUCGGGGAUUGCUUCAAUCCAUAUAGCGAUUUGUUAAGCUUACAAACCCAAUUUCUACCACCAGCAUCUGUGUAUCCUUCUGGCUGAGUCAUAUAGAUCUCCUCUUCUAACUCACCAUGCAAGAAAGCCGUCUUAACAUCAAGUUGAGCUAGCUCCAAAUUCAACUGUGCUACCAAGGCCAACAAAAUUCUAAUGGAGGAAUGCUUCACAACAGGGGAAAAUACAUCAUUGUAGUCAAUUCCCUCCUUCUGAGCGUAGCCUUUAGCUACCAAUCUUGCCUUGUAGCGAAUAUCCUUCUUGCUAGGAGAUCCAUCUUUCUUUGCGAAUACCCACUUGCAUCCGAUUGCCCUUUUACCUUUCGGUAAUUGCGCCAACUCCCAAGUAUUAUUCUUCCGGAGAGACUGCAUUUCUUCAUCCAUGGCGCUUUUCCAUUUAUCACUUUCUAAGCUUUGCAUUGCUUCUUGAUAAGUGAUAGGAAUAUCAUCAACAACGGGAAGGGCGUAGGCCACUAUAUCAGUAAAUCGAGCAGGUUUACGAAUUUCUCUCCGUGGCCUUGCAACUGCAACUGGUUCUGGUGUACUUAGUGGUUCUUGGGUCAGAACCUCUUCAACCUCUAAUUCCUCCAUUGUGGCUGGAGAAUUAGACUUAUUAACUGGGCAAAUCCCCAUCUGCUCAAACUCCACCUGUUUUGGAGUACACUCCACCUGCUGUGGAGUAUUGCUCGUCUGAAUAUCUUUAUCUGCUACCUUUUUCAAUGUGGUAGAUUCAUCAAAGGUAACAUCUCUGCUACAGAUCAUUUUCUUUGUGCUUAAGCACCAAAGACGAAAUCCCUUCACUCCAGAAGUGAUUCCCAUAAAGAGAGCUUUCUUUGCCCUCGGAUCUAACUUUGACUCCUUCACAUGGUAAUAUGCAGUGGUUCCAAACACAUGUAAGGAAUCAUAAUCUGUAGCCGGUUUUCCAGACCAUACCUCCAUAGGAGUUUUUCUUUCUAAUGCAGAUGAUGGCAAACGAUUAACAAGAUGGCCAGCGUAUGUCACAGCCUCAGCCCAAAAUUGCUUGCCCAACCCAGCAUUGGACAACAUACAUCGAACUUUCUCCAGCAAUGUUCGAUUCAUACGCUCUGCCAAUCCAUUCUGCUGUGGUGUAUCCCUAACUGUGAAGUGUCGAACAAUACCAUACUCUUGGCACACAUCGAAGAACGGAUCACUUUUAUAUUCCCCUCCAUUGUCCGUCCUAAGCCGCUUGAUUUUCUUGCCAGUCUGGUUUUCGAUCAUAGUUUUCCAUUUAAGAAAAACUCCAAGCACUUCAUCUUUAGUUUUCAUGGUAUACACCCAAACUCUUCUGGAAAAGUCAUCAACAAAAGUAACAAAGUAGUGUUUUCCUCCCAAUGAAGGUGUUUUGGAAGGCCCCCACACAUCUGAGUGAAUAUAUUCCAAAAUACCUUUUGUAUUAUGGAUAGCAGUGCCGAAUUUCACUCUCUUUUGCUUUCCCAGAACACAGUGCUCACAAAAUUUUAAUUUGCAAGCCUUUACACCUUUCAACAAUCCUUGCUUUGCCAGAAUUUGCAAGGAUUUUUCGCUGGCAUGUCCCAACUUCAUAUGCCACAACUGCAUUGAGUCCAAGUCUUUGUUACCGGAAGCUGCAGCGACUGCUCCAAUAACUGUACUACCUUGGUAGUAAUACAAGUUAUUUUUCCUGAUGCCCUUCAAUAUCACAAGUGCGCCAGAUGUCACUUUCAAAACCCCAUCUCUCAUAGUAACAACUGAACCAUUGGAUUCCAAGGCUCCCAAUGAGAUGAGAUUUUUCUUCAAACUGGGCACGUACCGAACAUCAGUCAGAACUCUGGUUGAUCCAUCUUUAUUCUUUAAUUGGAUUGAACCUAUCCCAACAGUUUUACAGGCAUUGUCAUUGCCCAUAUAAACAACUCCUCCAUUUAGUUCUACUAAAUCAGAGAACCACUCCCGGUUAGGGGACAUAUGAUAGGUACAACCCGAAUCCAAUAUCCACUCAUCUGAAUGGAACGACGAUGAUGAUGCAACCAGUGAUAGUUCAGAGUCACUAGUAUCAUGCUUAGCAACACAAGCAUCUACAGCAGCUUUUCCCUUAUUCUUCAGCUUUGGACAAUUUUUCUUCCAGUGGCCUUUCUCAUGACAAAAAGCACAUUCAUCUUUCCCGAGUCUGGACUUUGACUUUGAUCUCCCCUUUUGAGUUUUCUUCCGAGUGUAUGAACGACCUCGGACUAGUAAAGCUUCUGUAUCUCUGAUUGAGUUUUUCUGUUUGUCCUUCUUUCUCUGUUCAUAACUGUAUAAGGCCGCACAGACUUCGCUCAGAGAUAUAUCACUCCUGCCAUGAAGUAGAGUAGUUUCUAGGAACUCAAACUCCUCAGGAAGUGACCCCAACAGCAUCAAAGCCAAAUCUUCAUCUUUGAAUGUCUCAUCCAUAUUCAGCAAAUCAGUGACUAACUGAUUAAAUUUGGUGAUGUGAUCAUUCAUUGUGGUACUUGGGACGUAUGUGAAGCGAAACAGUCUUUUCUUCAAGUGGAGCUUAUUUUGACUGUUUUUCUUCAAAAAUUUUUCUUCAAGUGCCACCCACAACUUAUUUGCAGAAGUCUCCUUUGAAAAAGCAUACCUCUGCUCUCGAGAAAGGCAUGAUCGAAUUGUGCCACAUGCCAACCGAUUGAUCGCCUUCCAAUCUUUCUCCUGUACAUCAUCUGGUUUCUCUUCAUCAAUGGCAAUGUCUAGACCCUGCUGAAAAAGGGCAUCUAGAACCUCACUUUGCCACAUACCAAAAUGGCCCGUGCCAUCAAAGAUCUCCACGGCCAAUCUUGCAUUUGCAAUUGUCGGUCUUGUCCACAUGGACGAUGUUGAAGCUCCUACACCGACCGUUUUCUCCAUAAUCUUUCAAUAUACCUAAGGAAAUCUUUUCUGAUGUGGAAGAUCAGUUCAAACUGCAACCACAGAGCAUACUACGAUUAACCUUCGGCUCUUGAUACCACUUGUUGUUCCAAUAGGGUCGGAAGCGUGUAAAUUAUUGUACUAAAAAAUCACACAAAGUUCAAUUCCCAGGGAAGAGAGGUGGAUCACAAGGAUCUCUUAAAUACCAAGUCUUUCCUUAGACAGAAUAUCCCUUCUAUAGUAAUUUAAUAGCACAAUUAAAUACUACUAUUAUACCC